rnacentral:pre_miRNA from 1 species
ACAACAACAUUCGGACCGUCGGUCUACCGAGCAAUAUCACCCGCUCGGUGGAAGAUCUUCCCUUUGUCAUAUACC